ACUUUGGUUUCAGCUCUCUCUCUCUAAUUAGGUUAGAACCUAAUCCGCAGAACGACGGAGUGGAGUUUGGACGGAGAUAGGAGAUCGCAGAUCUUACAAGUUUAGAACCCAGAUUGGAAAUUUCAAUUCCAUUAACCAAUUUCCCUCCAAGAUUUCACUUAUGGUGUGAUUCAUUCAGCUGCUUUUAUAACGGUGGUACACUUGGGAGGUACGAAAUUUAGCUGUUGGUGGUGGCUAUUUUGUUGUGCUUACGGAGUAGGGUAUGAUGCUUUAGCUGCUGGAGUCCCGAGAUAUUUCAAAGGACUGUACUUUUUUGAUCUUUAUUCGAGGCUAUCUCUCUUUUCCCAUGGUAGCCAAUGGAACCCAGAGCAAGUUUGAAUUUCUGAGUUGAUAGAAAAUUCGAAGGAGCACAAUAGAGUACACCAUAGACGUCCAAAGAUUACAUAGCAGGCUCAGAUUGUAUUCGGUCAUCAUCUGGUAUGAAAAUAAUAAUGCACGAGAAGCCCAAAUGAGUUGUAGUUAGAGAAAGCAAGUAAAUCAUAAAUAUACGCUAGAAAAAUGUCAAAUAAAAAUUAUUCUUUGAUACACGAAAUGAUUUAUAAGCUUUGGAACGGUUGUGCAGGCGCAUAGCGCGUGCGUGUUAUACUAGUUCUAAUAAUUUAAAGAGGCGUGUUGCACUGUAAGCUAUGCUACUUCACUUCUACUUUAUAAUAAGUCAACCAUUGUUUUAUCAUUUUCUUUUUUCGUAACAAAAACUGUAAGCUAUGCUACUUCACUUCUACUUUAUAAUAAGUCAACCAUUGUUUUA